rnacentral:rRNA from 1 species
AUUGAACGCUGGCGGCAGGCCUAACACAUGCAAGUCGAACGGUAACAGAAAGCAGCUUGCUGCUUUGCUGACGAGUGGCGGACGGGUGAGUAAUGUCUGGGAAACUGCCUGAUGGAGGGGGAUAACUACUGGAAACGGUAUCUAAUACCGCAUAACGUCGCAAGACCAAAGAGGGGGACCUUCGGGCCUCUUGCCAUCGGAUGUGCCCAGAUGGGAUUAGCUAGUAGGUGGGGUAACGGCUCACCUAGGCGACGAUCCCUAGCUGGUCUGAGAGGAUGACCAGCCACACUGGAACUGAGACACGGUCCAGACUCCUACGGGAGGCAGCAGUGGGGAAUAUUGCACAAUGGGCGCAAGCCUGAUGCAGCCAUGCCGCGUGUAUGAAGAAGGCCUUCGGGUUGUAAAGUACUUUCAGCGGGGAGGAAGGGAGUAAAGUUAAUACCUUUGCUCAUUGACGUUACCCGCAGAAGAAGCACCGGCUAACUCCGUG